rnacentral:rRNA from 1 species
UACGGAGGGGCGAGCGUUAUUCGGAAUUAUUGGGCGUAAAGGGCGCGUAGGCGGCCCGGUAAGUCAAAGGUGAAAUCCCUCGGCUCAACUGAGGAACUGCCUUUGAAACUGUCGGGCUUGAGGCCGGGAGAGGGUAGUGGAAUUCCCAGUGUAGCGGUGAAAUGCGUAGAUAUUGGGAGGAACACCAGUGGCGAAGGCGGCUACCUGGACCGGUUCUGACGCGUGAGGCGCGGAAAGCGUGGGUAGCAAACGAGG